GGUCAAGUAGAAAAGGGCGCACGGUGAAUGCCUAGGCACUAAAAGCCGAUGAAGGACGUGACGAACUACGAAAAGCUUCGGGGAGCGGUAAGUACGCAGAGAUCCGGAGAUGUCCGAUGGGGGAACCC
rnacentral:rRNA from 1 species